AUUGAACGCUGGCGGCAGGCUUAACACAUGCAAGUCGAGCGGAGUGAUGGUGCUUGCACUAUCACUUAGCGGCGGACGGGUGAGUAAUGCUUAGGAAUCUGCCUAUUAGUGGGGGACAACAUCUCGAAAGGGAUGCUAAUACCGCAUACGUCCUACGGGAGAAAGCAGGGGAUCACUUGUGACCUUGCGCUAAUAGAUGAGCCUAAGUCGGAUUAGCUAGUUGGUGGGGUAAAGGCCUACCAAGGCGACGAUCUGUAGCGGGUCUGAGAGGAUGAUCCGCCACACUGGGUCUGAGACACGGCCCAGACUCCUACGGGAGGCAGCAGUGGGGAAUAUUGGACAAUGGGGGGAACCCUGAUCCAGCCAUGCCGCGUGUGUGAAGAAGGCCUUAUGGUUGUAAAGCACUUUAAGCGAGGAGGAGGCUCUUUUGGUUAAUACCCAAGAUGAGUGGACGUUACUCGCAGAAUAAGCACCGGCUAACUCUGUGCCAGCAGCCGCCGCGG
rnacentral:rRNA from 1 species